rnacentral:lncRNA from 1 species
GCUUUCUUCAAGCAUCUGGAGAUCCACCAAAUUCUGGAGAUGCUGUUCAAUUGUAUUAAAGGAUAUGGCACUAAAAGGCUGAUGGGGAGCUCUGCAAUUAUUCACUGCUGGCUGAUCUGACGCAGCAUUUGUCUGGGGACCUUUAAUAGUCAAAUUCUCCUGGAGAGUGUUCCUAAUCUCCUACCUGGAAGGGUUUUGUACUGGAGGACUCAAGGAUAUCUCCAAGCUUUCAAAUUCUGUAUCAACACAUCCAUGUCAUAAGAUUCUUCAAGAUCAUGAAGUCUCACUUCAUCUGGUUAUGACUCUGCCCUCCAGAUAUUACUGCAUCUUCCAGAUUCCAACCCACCUUCUACUACAGUUGAACCUGGAGCUUGAGGGAGAUGCCAACGCUGCAUGGGGUGCUGCUGUGAAGUGGGAAAAUAUGCUUUACUCC